CAUCUCACCUACGGUGUAUCCUAACAAUAGUAACAUGUUUAACUGUGAAUUGGACAAAGAUAUAAUUUGGAUCAAAAAUAAGGUGGUUAGCUGUAUAGUAUAACUCGCGUUUAAUGCUACAAUAUUGUAUCUUGUUUCGUAACAAGUUAGCUAGAUUUGACACACAUUUAACACCACUGUCAGCACAAAGCCAGACAGCAGCAUACCCAAAAUAUACACAAAAACGGGCGAUAAAGCACUUACACUGGAGAGAGAAGACUCAAGGAAGAUCAUGUGUUUGAAGCAUUGGGAACAACAGAUGAGCUGUCGAUCAGCAAUGGGGUAAUGUGAUGUCCUUUCCUUCUAUUGAGUAUUAUGCUUUGUGAGUAUUCACAGUCUUGUGUUUUGCAUCAACAAAGGUCAUACUUCACAGAUCAGCUGGACAAGGUCUGAGUUUGAACUUAUUCAGUUCAUUUUUGGAGAGUAAUGAUGAACAUAUGUUAUAUUUUACUCAGUGCUUACCUGCCUAACCCUACAGAUUCAGUGUCUUACAAGAUGUGGGAUCCAACAUUACCACACUUCUGUCAUCUGCAAGAGAAAGAGAACAGAGAAAAGCAAGUUCAGUUCCCAGCCAUUGGCAGACCUGGAAAACUGUCUCGACGCAUUCACAAAGGAGCUGCCACCACUGACAAACUUUAUAUUAGCUGAAAGCACCCACUCUGGAUGAAACUUUUCAUUUCUUUAUUUCUAUUUUUUUAUUUCACCGUUAUUUACCAGAUAGGCCAGUU